UGGCUUACUUGGCCCAGGCCUUGUCGGGCCGCUCACUUGCCCUGAGCGGCGUGACGGCCGGCCCGGUGUUCGGCGUACCGGACAGCUACCCA
rnacentral:tRNA from 1 species